UAAAACCCUAAAAACUACUGCACUCUGAACUUACACCCACACUGACACACAUAUGGAGAGAUGAGACCUGGUGAUGGUUUCCGCGUAGCGAUGGCGUUGGUGAUUAGAAACCCUAGCCGUUCAACCCAUUUCAAGAAACAAAUCGUGAGAGAAAAAGACGAGUCGGAGAAUCAAGAGAGAUGGAGAUGGUUGUUGAAGACGGCAGACGCGGCGGAGGCCAUUCUGUGUGGGCAAAUAAGGAGGUAGCGAUGUUUUCGGCGGCGGCUAGGGUUCAAUUCCGACCACGGUUCUAGGGUUCCGGCGAGGGUACCGGUGUCUCUCAUCGGACGAUCUAGAGACAGAAUGGGAAACUUGAAGUCGAUCUCGAACAACCGCACCGUCAGAGACUUGAACCAGUGUUCCGGCGAGAAUUCAGGUUUCAUAUUCAAAGUAUUAUCCACCAUUAUGGUUUAAAAUGGUUUUCAAUAAGCAAAGGCAUAGAUAAACGAGGUAACAGGUUGGAAGAAACUAGAGUGCAGAAUGGUUCAAGUGUCGGCGUAGGCUAUCUCGACAUUUGCAUAGGCUACGCCGGGUUAUUUUUCAUUUGAUGUGUUCGCACGUUUAAAAUUUAAUCAAAUCUUUUAUGUGUUAUGCAACUAUACUAAUGCUUUUGCACCUUGAUUUCUUGACGCACCGGUUGAUGAUGGCUGUGAAUUAUUUCAUCUGCUUUUUUUAACUCUCAGAAGGCUGGUGGGACAAUUGAUCUUGAACCUUGUCUUACACAUACGUCAACUAUGGAACCUAAACUUGCUCUUGUGGUUGUGGAACGCACCAUGACUACUAGAGCCGUAGCUUCGAAUGCGCUUCGUCAACAAAGAUUUGUGCGUGAAGUUACAUUACAGUACAACCUUUGCAAUGAACCUUGGAUUAAGUAUAGCAUAAGUGCCAUAGCAGACAAAGGUCUGAAGAAGCCUCUAUUUACCUCUGCUCGGUUGAAAAAGGGCGAAGUUCUGUACCUGGAAAGUCCUACACGAAGGUUUGAGCUUAAUAGUAUACGUUUUUUAUUGGGCCAUGUUGGCAAGGGAUGCUUCUUUUCUUAGUGUUAUAGGAAGGGGAUGAGUACUUGUCAUACAAAGAGACCUGGGAUUGCAAGCUAGAGUCUCGAACCUGGUGGCCACAUAAAAUUAAUGCAACUGGAUUUAGAAGAUUGUGUAGAGAACAUAGAUGCUCAAAAGGAGAUGUUUCAGGUAGAUGUUUUUACAAUGGCGAUUUGUCUAGCAGAUUACAGUUGCAUUCUAUAACGGAAUAUACAAAAACGAACUACCACAAAAUUUUAUACGGUUCAACGCUUAUUGUGUAGAAUAUAAGAGCAAAUGAUGUUUCUAAUUAGAUCACAUAAUGUAAACCACCACUACAAGAACAAUCUUCAAUGAUGAUUUAGCAAUUCAAUUGGCUUGAAUGGUUUUCCGAAGCAAAACUAUUAGUUACAUGUUAUCAAACCGAGA